rnacentral:rRNA from 1 species
UACGUAGGGGGCAAGCGUUGUCCGGAUUUAUUGGGCGUAAAGAGCGUGUAGGCGGCUAGGUAGGUCCGUUGUGAAAACUCGAGGCUCAACCUCGAGACGCCGGUGGAAACCAUCUAGCUAGAGUCCGGAAGAGGAGAGUGGAAUUCCUGGUGUAGCGGUGAAAUGCGCAGAUAUCAGGAGGAACACCGGUGGCGAAGGCGGGUCUCUGGGCAGUAACUGACGCUGGAGGAGCGAAAGCGUGGGGAGCGAACAGG